CCUACGGGAGGCAGCAGUGAGGAAUAUUGGUCAAUGGGCGCGAGCCUGAACCAGCCAAGUAGCGUGAAGGAUGACUGCCCUACGGGUUGUAAACUUCUUUUAUAAAGGAAUAAAGUGAGGCACGUGUGCAUUUUUGUCUGUACUUGAUGACUAAGGAUCGGCUAACUCCGUGCAAGCAGCCGCGGUAUUACGCAGGAUCAGAGCGUUAUCCGGAUUUAUUGGGUUUAAGGGAGAGUAGAUGGGUUGUUAAGUCAGUUGUUAAAGUUUGCGGCUCAACCGUAAAAUUGCAAUUGAUACUGGCAGCCUUGAGUACAGUUGAGGUAGGCGGAAUUCGUGGUGUAGCGGUGAAAUGCUUAGAUAUCACGAAGAACUCCGAUUGCGAAGGCAGCCUACUAAACUGCCACUGACAUUGAUGCUCGAAAGUGUGGGUAUCAAACAGGAUUAGAUACCCCAGUAGUC
rnacentral:rRNA from 1 species